AUUGAACGCUGGCGGAAUGCUUUACACAUGCAAGUCGAGCGGCAGCACGGGGGCAACCCUCGUGGCGAGCGGCGAACGGGUGAGUAAUACAUCGGAACAUGCCCAUUCGUGGGGGAUAACACUUCGACAUAAGUGCUAAUACCGCAUACGUCCUGAGGGGGAAAGCGGGGGAUCGCAAGACCUCGCGCGAUUGGAGUGGCCGAUGUCAGAUUAUCUAGUUGGUGGGGUAAAGGCCUACCAAGGCAACGAUCUGUAGCUGGUCUGAGAGGAUGAUCAGCCAAACUGGGACUGAGACAAGGCCCAGACUCCUAAGGGAGGCAGCAGUGGGGAAUUUUGGAAAAUGGGGGCAACCCUGAACCAGCCAAUCCGCGUGAGUGAAGAAGGCCUUCGGGUUGUAAAGCUCUUUCGGCAGGAACGAAACGGUGAGAUCUAACAUAGCUUGCUAAUGACGGUACCUGAAGAAGAAGCACCGGCUAACUACGUG
rnacentral:rRNA from 1 species